UACGAAGGGGGCUAGCGUUGCUCGGAAUUACUGGGCGUAAAGGGCGCGUAGGCGGCUCAUACAGUCAGGCGUGAAAUUCCUGGGCUCAACCUGGGGGCUGCGCUUGAGACGUGUGGGCUUGAGGACAGGAGAGGCUCGUGGAAUUCCCAGUGUAGAGGUGAAAUUCGUAGAUAUUGGGAAGAACACCGGUGGCGAAGGCGGCGAGCUGGCCUGUAACUGACGCUGAGGCGCGACAGCGCGGGGAGCAAACAGG
rnacentral:rRNA from 1 species